rnacentral:rRNA from 1 species
GUUAGGAAUCUUCCACAAUGGGGGCAACCCUGAUGGAGCAACACCGCGUGCUGGAUGAAGGCCUUCGGGUCGUAAACAGCUUUUGUAUACGAAGAAUAUGACGGUAAUAUACGAAUAAGGGUCGGCUAACUACGUGACAGCAGCCGCGGUCAUACGUAGGACCCAAGCGUUAUCCGGAGUGACUGGGCGUAAAGAGUUGCGUAGGCGGCUUAUUAAGCGAGUAGUGAAAUCUGGUGGCUCAACCAUCAACACAUUGCUCGAACUGAUAGGCUUGAGAAUGGUAGAGGUAGUUGGAAUUUCUUGUGUAGGAGUGAAAUCCGUAGAUAUAAGAAGGAACACCAAUGGCGUAGGCAGACUACUGGACCAUUUCUGACGCUGAGGCACGAAAGCGUGGGGAGCGAACCGGAUUAGAAACCCGGGUAGUCC